rnacentral:rRNA from 1 species
CCUACGGGUGGCAGCAGUGGGGAAUAUUGCACAAUGGGGGAAACCCUGAUGCAGCGACGCCGCGUGAGUGAAGAAGUAUUUCGGUACGUAAAGCUCUAUCAGCAGGGAAGAAAAUGACGGUACGUGACUAAGAAUCCCCGGCUAACUACGGGCCAGCAGCCGCCGUAUUACGUCGGGGGCACGCGUUAACCGGAUUUACUGGGGGUAAAGGGAGCGUAGGCGGCAGCGCAAGUCUGGAGUGAAAUCCCAUGGCUUAACCAUGGAACUGCUUUGGAAACUGGGCGGCUAGAGUGCAGGAGAGGUAAGCGGAAUUCCUGGUGUAGCGGUGAAAUGCGUAGAUAUGACGAGGAACCCCGGUGGCGAAGGCAGCUUGCUGGAGCGGAACUGACGCUGAUGCUCGAAAGCGCGGGUAUCGAACAGGAUUAGAUACCCCUGUAGUC